rnacentral:miRNA from 1 species
AUGACUGCAUACAAUUCUCUCUCUCUCUCUCUCUCUCUCUCUCUCUCUCUCUUUGAAUUGUUGAAUCAUAAAUGGCCUAGACAGGGCUCAGGGUACGUGUGUGUGUGUGUGUGUGUGUGUGAGAGAGAGAGAGAGAGAGAGAGAGAGAGAGAGAGAGAGAUUUUAUUUACAUUC